GGCUGGGCCUGCGGGCCGCGGGACAGGGAGGGCGCGGGGCCGGGCUGCUGGGUCCGAGCUCUGGGCACGAUGUCCUCCCUGACGCCGCCAGGACAGCGCCUGGCCCAGGCCUGGGCCUGGUGAACGCGGGUUUCUUCCUCUGAGGUUCAACACUCCGCACUUGGGUUGGCUCCUUUCAUCCUGAUUGGUUUAUUCGCCACGUGCCAAGCACUGAAGAGGGCGUGCAGGAUGGAUACUUUUGGAGCAAAAAUAGCCCUGCUUCUUUCCUGGGGAGGGAUCGCACUUUCUAGAGGGGCGGUUUUCAAAGUAUGGUCUCAGGACUAGCAGCAUCGAAAAUGCUGGGAACUCGUUAGAAAAGCAAGUUUUCAAUCCUCGCCCCAGAAUCAGAAACUCGGGGUGGAGCCCAGCAAUGUGUGUCCUGACAAGUCCACGCGCGACCCCAGUGCUGGCUAGGGUUGCAAAGCCACUGCUCUACGGAGCGAGCGAGAUCCAUCAUAGUGGGACAAGCGAGAGGAUGAGGCCAUACAGACCAGGGCAAGUUUUGAGCGCGCAGAUCCACCAGCUGCUUGAAGCCAGGGGCACCAGGAUGUCUGGUCCCCCAGCUCAGGGAUCCUGUCUCCCCACAAAAAGCAGCAGCAGAAGACCCCUCUUUGAGUUCUGAACAUGUUCCUAGAUUUUCCCAGUAUCUAUGGGGAUUGAGAGAUUGAUAAAGGCUGCUUGGAGCUGAAAGCACAGAGAGAGGCUCCUUACACUGACAUUCAAAGUCCUCAAUGACCCGGCCCCAGCCUACCUCUGCAGCCUUAUCUCCCUACAAACCAUCAAAGCAGAACAAAAACCUGUCCCUCCGAUUUAGGUUUUAGCAAACCACAAGAAGCACUUCAUAAACUGGUGACUCAAGUAGAAAAGUACUGUUCCACGCACUUGACACCAAUCCACCCAUUUCACCUGCAUGAUCACCCUGCCUUUGCAUGAGUUGCCGGUGUGGACAGAGCAGGGACACAGUGAGACAGCGGAUUCCAGCUUUGCUCUUACCUAGAACACACUGCCUCUCACCAGGAAUCGUCCUUCCAUUUUAUGCAGUUAUCCCAGACAAUGAUGCACAAGCUUUGGGAAAAAAACCCCACAAGUCCAAAGGUGUACUUCAUAAUAAAGCACCUGGUCUCACCGUUGUUCUACAGCACAGCAGGCCAGGCUGGAUUGGAGAGUCACCUUCAAGAGCCAUGAUCACUUCACGAGGACCUCUGCUGGUGUCUCCUCUGCUGUCCUGGAGGUCCCAGAGGACAGGAGCUGUGUCCUGUGACCUGCUGACCGCAACGCGUAGCACCUGGAAGGUGUUCAUAGGAUAGUUCCUCAAAUGAGUCAAUGGACAGUGAAUGGGGAAUGGAGUGGACGGUGGACGGGAGGGCAAGUUGUUUCCAUGAAAGGAGGAAAUUCCUGUGGAGGGAGUGGACAAGGCAUGCCUGUUUGAGCCACGCGCAGAUGAGAACACCUAUGCUGCAUGAGUCAGAAGCAAGUAUCAGAAGAUGAUGGAUCUCAUUACUUAGAGAAAAGAAGGCCUCAAACCCAUUGCACAUGGGUAGGGAGGAUGAAAAGAAACACCCACAGAGUUAAGCCACAACACUGGGAAAACUG
rnacentral:lncRNA from 1 species